rnacentral:rRNA from 1 species
GACGAACGCUGGCGGCGUGCUUAACACAUGCAAGUCGAACGGAAAGGCCCUGCUUUUGUGGGGUGCUCGAGUGGCGAACGGGUGAGUAACACGUGAGUAACCUGCCCUUGACUUUGGGAUAACUUCAGGAAACUGGGGCUAAUACCGGAUAGGAGCUCCUGCUGCAUGGUGGUGGUUGGAAAGUUUCGGCGGUUGGGGCUGGACUCGCGGCUUAUCAGCUUGUUGGUGGGGUAGUGGCUUACCAAGGCUUUGACGGGUAGCCGGCCUGAGAGGGUGACCGGCCACAUUGGGACUGAGAUACGGCCCAGACUCCUACGGGAGGCAGCAGUGGGGAAUAUUGCACAAUGGGCGGAAGCCUGAUGCAGCAGCGCCGCGUGCGGGAUGACGGCCUUCGGGUUGUAAACCGCUUUCGCCUGUGACGAAGCGUGAGUGACGGUAAUGGGUAAAGAAGCACCGGCUAACUACGUG